AGAGAGUGCAAGCGUUAAUCGGAAUUACUGGGCGUAAAGCGCGCGUAGGUGGAUAUUUAAGUCGGAUGUGAAAGCCCUGGGCUCAACCUAGGAACUGCAUCCGAUACUGGGUAUCUUGAGUAUGGUAGAGGGAAGUGGAAUUUCCGGUGUAGCGGUGAAAUGCGUAGAUAUCGGAAGGAACACCAGUGGCGAAGGCGACUUCCUGGACCAAUACUGACACUGAGGCGCGAAAGCGUGGGGGAGCAAACAGGAUUAGAGACCCUGGUAGUCCACGCCGUCAACGAUGAGAACUAGACGUUGGAAGGGUAACCUUUUAGUGUCGAAGCUAACGCGUUAAGUUCUCCGCCUGGGGAGUACGGCCGCAAGGUUA
rnacentral:rRNA from 1 species